rnacentral:tRNA from 1 species
GGCCUUAGCUCAGCUGGGAGAGCACCUGCCUUGCACGCAGGGGGUCAGCGCUUCCCCGCUACCA